UGCGUAGAUAUCAGGAGGAACACCGGUGGUGUAGACGGCUCUCUGGACCGUAACUGACGCUGAGACACGAAAGCGUGGGUAGCAAACAGGAUUAGAUACCCUGGUAGUCCACGCCCUAAACGAUGCAUAUUUGGUGUAGGUCAUUCAGUUGAUCUGUGCCGGAGCUAACGCGUUAAAUAUGCCGCCUGGGGAGUACAGUCGCAAGGCUGAAACUCAAAGGAAUUGACGGGGGCCCGCACAGGCGGUGGAGCAUGUGGUUCAAUUCGACGCAACGCGAAGAACCUUACCUGGGCUCGAACGGCUUCUCAACGCCGGUGGAAACAUCGGUAUCCCUUAAAAGAGUGGAGUCGAGGUGCUGCAUGGCUGUCGUCAGCUCGUGUCGUGAGAUGUUGGGUUAAGUCCCGCAACGAGCGCAACCCUUGUCCUGUGUUGCCACCCCGCAAGGGAGCACUCGCAGGAGACCGCCAGCGAUAAGCUGGAGGAAGGUGGGGAUGACGUCAAGUCCUCAUGGCCUUUAUGUCCAGGGCUACACACGUGCUACAAUGGCCGGUACAGAGCGUUCCCAAGCCGCGAGGUGGAGGCAAUCGCAAAAAACCGGUCUCAGUUCGGAUUGCAGGCUGCAACUCGCCUGCAUGAAGCUGGAAUCGCUAGUAAUGGCAGAUCAGCACGCUGCCGUGAAUACGUUCCCGGGCCUUGUACACACCGCCCGUCACAUCACGAAAGUGGGUUGUACUAGAAGUCCGCAGGCUGACCCGCAAGGGAGGCAGCGGCCCAAGGUAUGACUCAUGAUUGGGGUGAAGUCGUAACAAGGUAACC
rnacentral:rRNA from 1 species